CGUCAGCUGAUGGCUUGAGUCUUUGUUUCCUGUCAAACCUUUUUUUCCAUCAGCCAAAAUAUAUGAACAUGAACUGCACAUCACAAAAAACAAGGUGGAUCAUUGGCUCGCUUCAUUCAGUGUCUCUGGGUUUGAGCCAAUCACAGUUGGUCUACGGUAUGUAAAUGGAAUAUUUUACGUUCAAAUCUUUCAUUAGAGCGAGAACAGCGCUGGUUCAGCUUCAGCGCCAAAACGUAACCAUGUAUUGUGCUAUGAUAAUUCUGAGUACAGCACUGCUGAUUCAGUCUCAGGAGGAACCUCGAUUGAUCUUUGUGAAAUCAGCAGGACUUGGAGAUAAUGUUACCCUUCAUUGUGAAGCUAAAGACAAGAAUAUUAAUUAUUUAUACUGGUACAAGCAAUCUCCUGGAUACUUUCCCCAAAUUGUUGCUUCAAAAUCGUAUGGAUCAAUUACAAUGAAGCCCCACUUUGAUUUAAGAUUCACAAUGGAAGAAGGUGCUUCUCACUUUAAUCUGAUCAUUCAAAACGUAACUAAAGGUGAUGAAGCUAAUUAUUUCUGUCGACAAUACUCACUUGACUCCUGGGACGAUUGCACCUUUCUGUCUGUCAAAGAUCCCAAUGCGUAGAGGUUUGUCUCCCAGACUGUGGUCCAACAGUCUGUGUCGGCAUCAGCUCAGCUGGGAGACCCUGUGGCUCUCCAGUGCUCUAUUACCUCCCAGAGGA